UAGAGAGUGGGUGGAGAAGCAUUUCAAUAGAUGAGAGCAGGUAUGUAGUUGUUUUGCCGAAACUGCAGAGCUACCCUAAACUUUUGACUAUUGGUAAGCAGGGAAAUACAGCUACAAGCAGAUGGAUGACUGCUCCUGAAAAAGAGUCCAUGAGGAAGAGGCAUGCCAUGCAAUGCCAGCCAUGCCAUGCCAUGGGAGGCUAUAAGGGCUGCUCGGAGCAUUUGGGCACAAGGCCACAGAGACUCGACCCCCCGGUUUGCGGAUUCCAUUUGGUCCGGAAAUGCCAGGCAGAGCCCCGACUUGCACUCGCAUGAGGGAUCUGGGCAGUGUUUGACUGUCGGUCCAUUGGAGAUGGAGUCCUCCCUCUGCAGAGCAGGGGGACUCCAGUAUUAACAUUCAGCAUGAGUCACUGCUGCCGUUUUUCCCCCGAGAACCUUCCCCCUUCUUCCUGAGUCUCCAUCCAGCCCUCUGAGCCAGAAUGAGGCAGACUGAGGAUCUGACGCCAAGUAGGCCCAGGAUGGUAAGGGACAGGAUCCUUGCCAAGGCCGGUGGUUGGACCCCACCACUCGGAAGCAGCCAGAUUCCUUACAGGGGUUAGAAAUGAGAACGAGGAGCCAUUCUGACUUCAGUUUUGACAAUUUUUUGUAAACGAGCAAUUAGCGAGGGCUUACCAUAUGCCACACUCUUUGCAAAGACUUCACAGUGUUAAUUUUAGCCUCUCAACAGCCAUAUGAAGGAAGUACUAUUAUUAUCAUCCGUAUUUAAAAGCACGUGUCAGAGAUUGUGUCUUGAUCCCUGACAUUCUCAGCUCACCCUGCAGAAGCUGGAAGCUUGGAAACUACAUUUCCCAAAUUCUACUGCCAGUGCCACUCCAGUUUAGAUAUCACCAAUGAGAGAAGCACACAUGAAAUUUGGCAGAAGAGAGGCCAUUAUCUGCAAGGUGCAGCCAGGAGGAUGGGCACAGGUAUCUCCAAAAGACAGACCAAGACUCUGCCAGCUCUUUCUGACAAUUGUGGACAGUCCUGCCUCAGGCAAAGUCACCAGCAAUGAUUUCUAGCAAUUUCUUUAACUUCUCGGGAUCCUGAAAAAAAGUGGUGCUUUUCCCCGACCUUCCCUCAGACAGCCUUUCUAAUGAUUCUGGAAGCAUCAAUUCCCUUUGUAAAAUCCACCCUCCUGUUUGAAACACCUUGAACACUCUGUUUCCACGACUGAGCUCCAGCUAACACAGCAGUGGGUUCCAGAAUUGUUUUCCGAAACCAAAACCUCAGUGAGGAUGAGAAUCUGGAAUGGUUAACUGCCCUGGCCAGAUUUAGAGUUAGAACUGGCCUCAC